AUGGAUAAAAUGAGUAGAGCCUUAGAAAUUUAUCCUUAUUGCACUUUGGCACUCAACCACCUUGCCAACCAGUAUUUCUUUACUGGCCAGCAUUUUGUGGUUGAGCAACUGAGUGAGACUGUUCUCUCUUCAAGCAGUCAUGGACUACUGAAAUCACAAGCCUACUAUAACUUGGCUGGAUCAUACCAUUGUAAGGUGAUGCGCCCCAUUCAUAUACCCAUUGAAUUAGUUGGGUAUUAUUUCACUAAUUCUCUGUGCCGACACUUUGGAUUUCCUUGUUGA
rnacentral:rRNA from 1 species